rnacentral:rRNA from 1 species
CGUGAGCAAUCUGCCCUUGACUCUGGGAUAAGCGCUGGAAACGGCGUCUAAUACCGGAUACGACCCUCGGAGGCAUCUCCUGURGGURGAAAGAACUUCGGUCAAGGAUGAGCUCGCGGCCUAUCASCUUGUUGGUGAGGUAAUGGCUCACCAWGGCGACGACGGGUAGCCGGCCUGAGAGGGUGACCGSCCACMCUGGGACUGAGACACGGCCCAGACUCCUACGGGAGGCAGCAGUGGRGAAUAUUGCACAAUGGGCGCAAGCCUGAUGCARCAAYGCCGCGUGAGGGACGMCSGCCUUCGGGUUGUAAACCUCUUUUAGCAGGGAAGAAGCGAGAGUGACGGUACCUGCAGAAAAAGCACCGGCUAACUACGUGCCAGCAGCCGCGGUAAUACGUAGGGUGCAAGCGUURUYCGGAAUUAUUGGGCGUAAAGAGCUCGUAGGCGGUCUGUYRMGUCKGMUGUGAAAACCCGAGGCUCAACC